rnacentral:rRNA from 1 species
UACGAAGGGGGCUAACGUUGCUCGGAAUGACUGGGCGUAAAGGGCGCGUAGGCGGCUUGUAUAGUCGGAUGUGAAAUUCCUGGGCUUAACCUGGGGGCUGCAUACGAGACGUAUGGGCUUGAGUGCGGAAGAGGGUCGUGGAAUUCCCAGUGUAGAGGUGAAAUGCGCAGAUAUCAGGAGGAACACCAAUUGCGAAGGCAGCUCGCUGGGACGUUACUGACGCUGAGACGCGAAAGCGUGGGGAGCAAACAGG